GCAAAAAUUCUUUGUAAUUGAUUAAUCGAAAAAAAAAAUCCAUCUAUUAUCUGAGCAGCUACCCUCAUCGACAAAUACCGAAUCUUGAAUUAAGUUGCAGCUUUACUGCCUGAUUGCUGAUUUUUAAUUUCUUUAAAAAUUCUUAACACAGCGUGUAAUUUUUUUGCAAAUUUUGCUAAACUCGGAGAAAUGUGUUUUAUUGUGCCAGAUUGAUUGGUCAAUAGACAACGUCAAUGGUGUGUUUUUCCCUGUAUAUGUUGUAGUGGUUGAACCCAUUGAUCAACCAGCGGAUGAGUCUGCAUCUACGUUGAAAGCUUGGUGUUGAUUAAUCACAAAUUUAGUUUUUCUCGAGUCUUCCAGUCGGUCAGUUCAAAGAGGAUUUACGACUUGCCUUUCGAGCAUGGUGAACAAAUACCUUUUUUUUUUUCACGGUUUUUGCUUCUAUGCCUGUUUGUCGAAACACUGUAUCUCUCGACGUGACACCGCUAAGUGGCACAAUAAAGGUUGGGGACCGUUGCACUGUGCUGAUAAAAUAGCAAUGACAUUAUUGAUUCAUCAAAUUCAAAUUGUCUCGCAUCACAUUAAAGUCGACGACAUAAAAAAAAAUGGUUAUUUGUUCAACCCCUAGUAUAGUGCAAGAUUUGGUGUCCACAAUACUUCUUGAAGCUACAUCAGGUUGAAAGGGGAGUGUCGAGGCACAGCCAUUUUCACGUCUUUCCCAAUUCCAGAUUUGAGCACGACUAACAAUAAGCCCAAAAAAGGAAUGAUCCAACUACAUAACAAAAUGCAGACAAAGAUGUGACGUGCUUUCAAAGCUUUCCAGAUGCACUGUUAAACCACGUCUUCCAUUUUUUUUGAAAGCUUUUUAUUCAGCCGAAUGUAUUUUGUCGUGACCGGUGCAGGCCUCUUCAGGCCCGCGUGUCGGAAAGGAACGUUUACAAGCCGUGAUGAUGCAAUUCUGUUUCACACAAUUUUGUAUAUUUAAUAAAGACUAUUUAGUGUAUCUUCCUCACUGUAUCUUUCUCUGUGCUGUGUCUUUUCUCAUGUUUUCUUACCGUAUACUCAGUUUUCAAGCGGAAUUACAGCCACACGGGUCAGAACAUUGUCUCGACAGGAAAUACCAUAGUAUCACAUUUAAAUUUUAAUUUAUAAAAACGUUUGUAGAAUAUGACAAAAAUCACUACGGGGAUAAAGAAGUGUUCCUGGCUGCUCUUUAAAAAAAGAACUCCGCAUGUUAUCACAAUAAACUAACUUAUUUGUCCCUAAUAACUGUUAGUUUGGUGAAUAGCCAAAUGCAAGGACUUCACUACCCAUAAUGCACCUCGCCAUUGUGAAGGCAGCCUAAACUGAAAAUAUUAAGUGAAUAGUAUCACCGAACAGUUUUUUAAUACGAAGUAAUAUGAUGUAAUAUUCUAGUUGUCAAUGAAAAUCGCCACGUUUCUUUUAAAUGUAGUCGGAAACCUCCCGGUAAAACCGAUUGGCAACAGCAGUGUGUAAAGAACUACAUUACCCACAAUGCACAUUGGUGAGAAGUUUUUAUUUUUCGGUGACAAAACUAAAAUUGUUGCCAAACGACGAUUUUGUUCGUCACCAAAACAGUAGUAGUCAUAGAACAUGACAAUAGUUUGGCAGGAUGUUCAACUACCGGUAGGCGUCGUUGGAACGAGCCAAAUAUUCACGUUAGCUUGGAUAUGGAGGAAGAACCACUGAACAACCGAGUCCAAUGAAAAUCCAGGUCGAGGAAUCACUUAACCAGAAUGCAUUUCGGUAGCGCGCCUUUCUUCAGAUUCAACAAACGAAUAUGGAUUUUAAAACACGGGAAUAUCUUGACAGAAGAGGAAAAUACUUUACCUUCUUUUUGUGACACGUCCCAUUCGGAGCAGGGCUGUGAGGGAAUGAUGCGACCGAAUGGUGGGGGUGUGCUGUCCUCUGACAGGAAUAGCGACAUGAUGAGUCCUCCGAGGUGACGUCGAUGUCCUCGGAGCUGGUCUGCUUGGUGGCCACGCGCCACCUGUUGAUGUGGUGGUUGCCCUUCUUCUUCUGCUGCUGGGCGUCCGGUCCGUCUUCCUCCAGCUUCUGCCGCUUGUACUUGGUCCGCCGGUUCUGGAACCACACCUUCACCUGCGCACACGCCAGCCACACGCUUCAGCGAGGCCCGCUCCAGGCGCAGCAACUGCGACGGCGAGAAGGCGGUUCGGAUCCGCUUGGGCUUCCGGGCGAAAGGGCCGUGGAGGAGUAGGCCGUCCUGGGACGCGUCGUGACCUACCGGGCCGGGACGACACACACACCCGAACUGCCAUUACGGCUCAUUCCAGCCUUGCUUACGGACCGCCAUUACGGCUCCGAGUCGCUGAACAGCCCGGAGAUGUUGCUUGAAAAGUCAACAGUGCCCCAAGUCCUCCUUGAUGCCAAAGCGUUCGUCUAUACGCAAGACUGCACAAGUGAGAGCGUGCAUUGGGGCGAGAGGGGGUUUGCGGCUUACCACCACCCCCUACCCGCGCGAACAGUGAUUGGAUCGCGGGACCUGCCAAUCAAGAGCUCUUAGGUGAAGAUUACUGACAUGGAAACCUUGCCAGCGUGUCGCCUUUGUGCUCCGUCGUCUGCGCUCCGGCGUCGCCAAUUAGCCGCUCCGAUGCACUCUGUUCCUCGCAACGUCUUAUCCCGGCACAUGCGGCUGAUGUGUCUCUGGUCGCCCGCAGGAGGCCCCAAACCAGUUGGCCGUUUUACAUCCGGCCCACUUCACUUUAUUAGCUACACCUGCGCCGCAUGCCGGAGAGCAUUUGACUGCUUGGAGACAAUUCAAGGAGCUCCUUAGAGAUGACUUUUUUCAUUUGUUUGGUCACCCAAAUGACCACGAACGCCUUCUUGGCCAUUUACUAUGCGAUUAAUUUUGUGUUAGCUUCUACAUUCUCCUUGUGAGUGUUUUCAUUUCCAUUUGUCCUAUUCAAAGACAACGGCAUAAAGUGCGUUUGUGACCC